rnacentral:rRNA from 1 species
GCGCAAUGGGCGAAAGCCUGACGCAGCAACGCCGCGUGGGGGAUGACGGCCUUCGGGUUGUAAACCUCUUUCGACAUCGACGAAGGGCCUUUUGGGUUCUGACGGUAGGUGUAGAAGAAGCACCGGCUAACUACGUGCCAGCAGCCGCGGUAAUACGUAGGGUGCGAGCGUUGUCCGGAUUUAUUGGGCGUAAAGAGCUCGUAGGCGGUUUGUCGCGUCGGCCGUGAAAACCUGCCGCUUAACGGUGGGCGUGCGGUCGAUACGGGCAGACUUGAGUUCGGCAGGGGAGACUGGAAUUCCUGGUGUAGCGGUGAAAUGCGCAGAUAUCAGGAGGAACACCGGUGGCGAAGGCGGGUCUCUGGGCCGAUACUGACGCUGAGGAGCGAAAGCGUGGGGAGCGAACAGGAUUAGAUACCCUGGUAGCCCACGCCGUAAACGUUGGGCGCUAGGUGUGGGGACUGUUUCCACGGUUUCCGUGCCGUAGCUAACGCAUUAAGCGCCUCGCCUGGGGAGUACGGCCGCAAGGCU